rnacentral:rRNA from 1 species
UUAAGCGACUAAGCGUACACGGUGGAUGCCCUGGCAGUCAGAGGCGAUGAAGGACGUGCUAAUCUGCGAAAAGCGUCGGUAAGGUGAUAUGAACCGUUAUAACCGGCGAUGUCCGAAUGGGGAAACCCAGUGCAAUUCGUUGCACUAUCGUUAACUGAAUACAUAGGUUAACGAGGCGAACCGGGGGAACUGAAACAUCUAAGUACCCCGAGGAAAAGAAAUCAACCGAGAUUCCCCCAGUAGCGGCGAGCGAACGGGGAGCAGCCCAGAGUCUGAAUCAGCUUGUGUGUUAGUGGAACGGUCUGGAAAGUCCGACGGUACAGGGUGAUAGUCCCGUACACCAAAAUGCACAGGUUGUGAACUCGAAGAGUAGGGCGGGACACGUGGUAUCCUGUCUGAAUAUGGGGGGACCAUCCUCCAAGGCUAAAUACUCCUGACUGACCGAUAGUGAACCAGUACCGUGAGGGAAAGGCGAAAAGAACCCCGGCGAGGGGAGUGAAAAAGAACCUGAAACCGUGUACGUACAAGCAGUGGGAGCACCUUCGGGUGUGACUGCGUACCUUUUGUAUAAUGGGUCAGCGACUUAUAUUCUGUAGCAAGGUUAACCGUAUAGGGGAGCCGCAGGGAAACCGAGUCUUAACUGGGCGUUAAGUUGCAGGGUAUAGACCCGAAACCCGGUGAUCUAGCCAUGGGCAGGUUGAAGGUUGGGUAACACUAACUGGAGGACCGAACCGACUAAUGUUGAAAAAUUAGCGGAUGACUUGUGGCUGGGGGUGAAAGGCCAAUCAAACCGGGAGAUAGCUGGUUCUCCCCGAAAGCUAUUUAGGUAGCGCCUCGUGAAUUCAUCUUCGGGGGUAGAGCACUGUUUCGGCUAGGGGGUCAUCCCGACUUACCAACCCGAUGCAAACUACGAAUACCGAAGAAUGUUAUCACGGGAGACACACGGCGGGUGCUAACGUCCGUCGUGAAGAGGGAAACAACCCAGACCGCCAGCUAAGGUCCCAAAGUCAUGGUUAAGUGGGAAACGAUGUGGGAAGGCACAGACAGCCAGGAUGUUGGCUUAGAAGCAGCCAUCAUUUAAAGAAAGCGUAAUAGCUCACUGGUCGAGUCGGCCUGCGCGGAAGAUGUAACGGGGCUAAACCAUGCACCGAAGCUGCGGCAGCGACACUAUGUGUUGUUGGGUAGGGGAGCGUUCUGUAAGCCUGCGAAGGUGACCUGUGAGGGUUGCUGGAGGUAUCAGAAGUGCGAAUGCUGACAUAAGUAACGAUAAAGCGGGUGAAAAGCCCGCUCGCCGGAAGACCAAGGGUUCCUGUCCAACGUUAAUCGGGGCAGGGUGAGUCGACCCCUAAGGCGAGGCCGAAAGGCGUAGUCGAUGGGAAACAGGUUAAUAUUCCUGUACUUGGUGUUACUGCGAAGGGGGGACGGAGAAGGCUAUGUUAGCCGGGCGACGGUUGUCCCGGUUUAAGCAUGUAGGCUGGUUAUCCAGGCAAAUCCGGAUAAUCAAGGCUGAGGUGUGAUGACGAGGCACUACGGUGCUGAAGUAACAAAUGCCCUGCUUCCAGGAAAAGCCUCUAAGCAUCAGGUAACAUCAAAUCGUACCCCAAACCGACACAGGUGGUCAGGUAGAGAAUACCAAGGCGCUUGAGAGAACUCGGGUGAAGGAACUAGGCAAAAUGGUGCCGUAACUUCGGGAGAAGGCACGCUGGUGUGUAGGUGAAGUCCCUGCGGAUGGAGCUGAGACCAGUCGAAGAUACCAGCUGGCUGCAACUGUUUAUUAAAAACACAGCACUGUGCAAACACGAAAGUGGACGUAUACGGUGUGACGCCUGCCCGGUGCCGGAAGGUUAAUUGAUGGGGUUAUCCGUAAGGAGAAGCUCUUGAUCGAAGCCCCGGUAAACGGCGGCCGUAACUAUAACGGUCCUAAGGUAGCGAAAUUCCUUGUCGGGU